rnacentral:rRNA from 1 species
GCCUGCUCAUGAUUUUUUUAAUAGCCGCAAUCACGUGCUAAGGUAGCAUAAUCACUUGCCUUAUAAUUUAAGGCUAGAAUGAAAGGUUUAACAUGAUAACUUCUUUGUUAAUUAAAUUUCUUUAACUUUACUUAUAAGUAAAAAGGCUUAUAUUCAAAAGGGGGACGACAAGACCCUAACGAGCUUUACUUACUUAGUUGAACUGGGGUGGUAAAAAACUAAAUCUUUUUUUUUCUUUUCUUCUUAUCCUUAUCAUAAGAUUUUAAAGUUACCGUAGGGAUAACAGCAUAAUUUUUUUCUAGAGAUCUUAUCUAAAAAAAAGAUUGUGACCUCGAUGUUGAAUUAAUU